rnacentral:rRNA from 1 species
AGAGUUUGAUCAUGGCUCAGAUUGAACGCUGGCGGCAGGCCUAACACAUGCAAGUCGAGCGGUAGAGAGAAGCUUGCUUCUCUUGAGAGCGGCGGACGGGUGAGUAAUGCCUAGGAAUCUGCCUGGUAGUGGGGGAUAACGUCCGGAAACGGACGCUAAUACCGCAUACGUCCUACGGGAGAAAGCAGGGGACCUUCGGGCCUUGCGCUAUCAGAUGAGCCUAGGUCGGAUUAGCUAGUUGGUGGGGUAAUGGCUCACCAAGGCGACGAUCCGUAACUGGUCUGAGAGGAUGAUCAGUCACACUGGAACUGAGACACGGUCCAGACUCCUACGGGAGGCAGCAGUGGGGAAUAUUGGACAAUGGGCGAAAGCCUGAUCCAGCCAUGCCGCGUGUGUGAAGAAGGUCUUCGGAUUGUAAAGCACUUUAAGUUGGGAGGAAGGGCAGUAAAUUAAUACUUUGCUGUUUUGACGUAACCGACAGAAUAAGCACCGGCUAACUCUGUGCCAGCAGCCGCGGUAAUACA